CGAGGGUGCAAGCGUUAAUCGGAAUUACUGGGCGUAAAGCGAGUGUAGGCGGCUACUUAAGUCGGAUGUGAAAUCCCCGGGCUCAACCUGGGAAUUGCAUUCGAUACUGGGUAGCUAGAGUUUGGUAGAGGUAAGUGGAAUUCCGGGUGUAGCGGUGAAAUGCGUAGAGAUCUGGAGGAAUACCGAUGGCGAAGGCAGCCAUCUGGCCUAAUACUGACGCUGAGGUACGAAAGCAUGGGGAGCAAACAGGAUUAGAUACCCUGGUAGUCC
rnacentral:rRNA from 1 species